rnacentral:sRNA from 3 species
UACCGAGUGCGGGCCCUCUGGGUCCAACCUCCCAUCCGUGUCUAUCUGUACCCUGUUGCUUCGGCGUGGCCACGGCCCGCCGAAGACUAACAUUUGAACACUGUCUGAAGUUUGCAGUCUGAGUUUUUAGUUAAACAAUAAUUAAAACUUUCAACAACGGAUCUCUUGGUUCCGGCAUCGAUGAAGAACGCAGCGAAAUGCGAUAAUUAAUGUGAAUUGCAGAAUUCAGUGAAUCAUCGAGUCUUUGAACGCACAUUGCGCCCCCUGGUAUUCCGGGGGGCAUGCCUGUCCGAGCGUCAUUGCUGCCCUCAAGCACGGCUUGUGUGUUGGGCUUCCGUCCCUGGUAACGGGGACGGGCCCAAAAGGCAGUGGCGGCACCAUGUCUGGUCCUCGAGCGUAUGGGGCUUUGUCACCCGCUCCCGUAGGUCCAGCUGGCAGCUAGCCUCGCAACCAAUCUUUUUAACCAGGUUGACCUCGGAUCAGGUAGGGAUACCCGCUGAACUUAAGCAUAUCAAUAAGCGGAGGAAAAGAAACCAACAGGGAUUGCCUCAGUAACGGCGAGUGAAGCGGCAAGAGCUCAAAUUUGAAAUCUGGCCCCUCCGGGGUCCGAGUUGUAAUUUGUAGAGGAUGCUUCGGGUGCGGCCCCCGUCUAAGUGCUCUGGAACGGGCCAUCGGAGAGGGUGAGAAUCCCGUCUGGGACGGGGUGUCCGCGUCCAUGUGAAGCUCCUUCGACGAGUCGAGUUGUUUGGGAAUGCAGCUCUAAAUGGGUGGUAAAUUUCAUCUAAAGCUAAAUACUGGCCGGAGACCGAUAGCGCACAAGUAGAGUGAUCGAAAGAUGAAAAGCACUUUGAAAAGAGAGUUAAACAGCACGUGAAAUUGUUGAAAGGGAAGCGCUUGCGACCAGACUCGCUUCCGGGGUUCAGCCGGCUUUCGGGCCGGUGUACUUCCCCGGGGGCGGGCCAGCGUCGGUUUGGGCGGCCGGUCAAAGGCCCCUGGAAUGUAACGCCCCUCGGGGCGCCUUAUAGCCAGGGGUGUCAUGCGGCCAGCCUGGACCGAGGAACGCGCU